rnacentral:rRNA from 1 species
UACGUAGGGUGCAAGCGUUAAUCGGAAUUACUGGGCGUAAAGGGUGCGUAGGCGGGUCUUUAAGUCAGGGGUGAAAUGCCAGGGCUCAACCUUGGAACUGCCUUUGAUACUGGAGACCUUGAGUCCGGGAGAGGUGAGUGGAAUUGCGAGUGUAGAGGUGAAAUUCGUAGAUAUUCGCAAGAACACCAGUGGCGAAGGCGGCUCACUGGCCCGGAACUGACGCUGAGACGCGAAAGCGUGGGGAGCAAACAGG